CUCUUUUGAUCUCCUUUGUUGAACAUCUGAAAAAGUUUACUUAGCAUGUGGUAACAAUUUUAAUUUGGGAGCAUGCUGAUAAUAAAAAGAUGUGUGUGCAUGCAUCCACAAGUUAAAAAAUGAGUUCACAUAUAUUUGUUCUUAGCAUUCAGCUUGCCUAGCUUUGUUUUUAUAAACAGAACUAUUAAGCUUGCGGCUUUGGUAACUAAAUGCAGAGUAAAUAAAAUAUGAGUCAAUCAAAAAGGUUGAUAGUAUCUAUACAUACUACCUAGUAAUUUUGUGUAUUUGAUGUGUCUGUUCUAACAUGUUUACUUGACACUCUACUGAAAAUAUAAUGUGCAGCACCUAUAAUUAGUCAUUUAAGAAAUAACUCUUAUGUUUUUCCAAAACAUAAAAAUAACUUUUUUAUGUUUUUCCA
rnacentral:lncRNA from 1 species